rnacentral:rRNA from 1 species
AUGGAUGAACUCAAUGGAGAAAUUGUUUGCGCCGCACUUGCCGAAACACCACUGCGUAGCAUGCUUCAGAUACCUUCGUUGAAGAUGCGUACACUGUUGAUCCGGUACAUGGUUGAAAUUUUUGAUCCUAGCAAGGGCAGAUUCAUUGUACAAGACUUGGUUGGCGAAGUGUCUCUCGGUGCUGUGGAUGUUGAGUGCAUCUUGUCCUUGGAGAACCACGGACUGUCGGCAGAAGAUAUUCUUAGUGAGGAAGGUGAGGAUGUUAAAGAUCGAGUGCCACCUCAAUUCCUGAGCAAAACCACAUGUAAUAUAGUCAUCGAUGAUCUGAUUGUGGACAUCAACAAAAUAAAUCUGCCGACGACGAUUUCCUUCGGAAUGUUGUCCUCGUGUUGCUUGGAAUAG